AUUGAACGCUGGCGGCAUGCUUUACACAUGCAAGUCGAACGGCAGCGCGGGCUUCGGCCUGGCGGCGAGUGGCGAACGGGUGAGUAAUACAUCGGAACGUGCCCAGUAGUGGGGGAUAGCUCGGCGAAAGCCGGAUUAAUACCGCAUACGACCUGAGGGUGAAAGCGGGGGAUCUUCGGACCUCGCGCUAUUGGAGCGGCCAAUGGCAGAUUAGCUAGUUGGUGGGGUAAAGGCCUACCAAGGCGACGAUCUGUAGCUGGUCUGAGAGGACGACCAGCCACACUGGGACUGAGACACGGCCCAGACUCCUACGGGAGGCAGCAGUGGGGAAUUUUGGACAAUGGGCGAAAGCCUGAUCCAGCAAUGCCGCGUGUGUGAUGAAGGCCUUCGGGUUGUAAAGCACUUUUGGCGGGAACGAAAAGGACUGUGCCAAUACCACGGUUCGAUGACGGUACCCGCAGAAUAAGCACCGGCUAACUACGUG
rnacentral:rRNA from 1 species